GGUAUAAUCAUCGAAUCUCUAAUCACUUUUAUCGAAUAAAGCCAAUGAUUAGAGGGAUUGAUAUAUAACGCAACAUCCUCGACCUAUCGUCAGAUUUUAAAUUGAUAGAAUAUUGUGGUUGCUUUGUAGUUUCACACUAUGAAAUGAAUAUCUUCAAAAAUAUCAAUUUUUGUGUGUAGAUUAACUAGCAGAAGUAUUGGAUGAUGAAUCAAAAGCCAGUUACUAUAUUAAACGACAUGUUAAUUUAGAUUCCACAAAGGUUUUUGGUCAAUUAAUAUAAUAAGACAGUGGUCAUGAAAAUUGAAAUCCGCUAAGAAGUGUAAAAUUAUUCACUUGUUGAAUCAACAAGCUUAGAACAUAAAGAAAUCUCAACACAUUAGAAAUAAGAGCCCGUCUAGCUCAGUUGGUAGAGCGCAAGGCUCUUAACCUUGUGGUCGUGGGUUCGAGCCCCACGGUGGGCG
rnacentral:ncRNA from 1 species